ACGAACGCUGGCGGCGUGCUUAACACAUGCAAGUCGCACGGAAAGGCCCUGCUUUUGUGGGGUGCUCGCGUGGCGAACGGGUGAGUAACACGUGAGUAACCUGCCCUUGACUUUGGGAUAACUUCAGGAAACUGGGGCUAAUACCGGAUAGGAGCUCCUGCUGCAUGGGGGGGGUUGGAAAGUUUCGGCGGUUGGGGAUGGACUCGCGGCUUAUCAGCUUGUUGGUGGGGUAGUGGCUUACCAAGGCUUUGACGGGUAGCCGGCCUGAGAGGGUGACCGGCCACAUUGGGACUGAGAUACGGCCCAGACUCCUACGGGAGGCAGCAGUGGGGAAUAUUGCACAAUGGGCGGAAGCCUGAUGCAGCAACGCCGCGUGCGGGAUGACGGCCUUCGGGUUGUAAACCGCUUUCGCCUGUGACGAAGCGUGAGUGACGGUAAUGGGUAAAGAAGCACCGGCUAACUACGUG
rnacentral:rRNA from 1 species